rnacentral:rRNA from 1 species
UACGAAGGGGGCUAGCGUUGCUCGGAAUCACUGGGCGUAAAGGGUGCGUAGGCGGGUCUUUAAGUCAGGGGUGAAAUCCUGGAGCUCAACUCCAGAACUGCCCUUGAUACUGAAGGUCUUGAGGUCGGGAGAGGUGAGUGGAACUGCGAGUGUAGAGGUGAAAUUCGUAGAUAUUCGCAAGAACACCAGUGGCGAAGGCGGCUCACUGGCCCGAUACUGACGCUGAUGCACGAAAGCGUGGGGAGCAAACAGG